CCUAGGGAGGCAGCAGUGGGGAAUAUUGCACAAUGGGCGCAAGCCUGAUGCAGCCAUGCCGCGUGUAUGAAGAAGGCCUUCGGGUUGUAAAGUACUUUCAGCGGGGAGGAAGGCGUUGAGGUUAAUAACCUCAGCGAUUGACGUUACCCGCAGAAGAAGCACCGGCUAACUCCGUGCCAGCAGCCGCGGUAA
rnacentral:rRNA from 1 species